AGACGCUGGGAUUAAAAGGGAAUCCGGUGUAAAUCCGGGACAGUUCCCGCUGCUGUAAGCACCGCCAAGCGCAACCCCUCUUUGUCACUGUUCCGAGUACUCGGGAUGGGAAGACCGGUUGCAGGGUGUAAGUCAGAAGACCUGCCUCAUGCAUUU
rnacentral:ncRNA from 1 species